rnacentral:rRNA from 1 species
GACGAACGCUGGCGGCGUGCUUAACACAUGCAAGUCGAACGGAAAGGCCCUGCUUUUGUGGGGUGCUCGAAUGGCUAACGGGUGAGUAACACGUGAGUAACCUGCCCUUGACUUUGGGAUAACUUCAGGAAACUGGGGCUAAUACCGGAUAGGAGCUCCUGCUGCCUGGUGGGGGUUGGAAAGUUUCGGCGGUUGGGGAUGGACUCGCGGCUUAUCAGCUUGUUGGUGGGGUAGUGGCUUACCAAGGCUUUGACGGGUAGCCGGCCUGAGAGGGUGACCGGCCACAUUGGGACUGAGAUACGGCCCAGACUCCUACGGGAGGCAGCAGUGGGGAAUAUUGCACAAUGGGCGGAAGCCUAAUGCAGCAACGCCGCGUGCGGGAUGACGGCCUUCGGGUUGUAAACCGCUUUCACCUGUGACGAAGCGUGAGUGACGGUAAUGGGUAAAGAAGCACCGGCUAACUACGUG